AUUGCUUCUUGGCUUUUUGGCUAAGAUCAAAUGUAGUAUCUAUUAUUAUGAGUUGAAUAUUUACUUGAGGACAACAUAUUAAAUAGAUUUUCGGAGCAAAAUAGCUUGUUCUAUCUACUCCUUGCAUCAAUCUGAUUUGGCAGUACCUCCAGUAAUACAGCAACCCCU
rnacentral:snRNA from 1 species